rnacentral:rRNA from 1 species
UACGGGGGGUGCGAGCGUUGUCCGGAAUCACUGGGCUUACAGGGUGCGUAGGCGGCUUGUUAAGUAGGGUAUGAAAGCCCCCGGCUCAACCGGGGAAUGGCGCCCUAAACUGGCGAGCUAGAGUGAGAUAGGGGUGUGUGGAACUUCCGGUGGAGCGGUGAAAUGUGUUGAUAUCGGAAGGAACGCCGGUGGCGAAAGCGACACACUGGAUCUUGUCUGACGCUGAGGCACGAAAGCCAGGGGAGCGAACGGG